rnacentral:rRNA from 1 species
GACGAACGCCGGCGGCGUGCUUAACACAUGCAAGUCGAACGGUAAGGCUCCAGCUUGCUGGGGUACACGAGUGGCGAACGGGUGAGUAACACGUGGGUGACCUGCCCUGCACUUCGGGAUAAGCCUGGGAAACUGGGUCUAAUACCGGAUAGGACCGCACCGUGAGGGUGUGGUGGAAAGUUUUUUCGGUGUGGGAUGGGCCCGCGGCCUAUCAGCUUGUUGGUGGGGUAAUGGCCUACCAAGGCGGCGACGGGUAGCCGGCCUGAGAGGGUGGACGGCCACAUUGGGACUGAGACACGGCCCAGACUCCUACGGGAGGCAGCAGUGGGGAAUAUUGCACAAUGGGCGGAAGCCUGAUGCAGCGACGCCGCGUGGGGGAUGACGGCCUUCGGGUUGUAAACUCCUUUCACCAUCGACGAAGGGUUUCUGACGGUAGAUGGAGAAGAAGCACCGGCUAACUACGUG